rnacentral:lncRNA from 1 species
UACCUCGAACGUCGCACGCGUCCCUCGCACGUGAGUAGCCGGGUGAUGAGGAAACGAAUGUGAAGCGCCGCAGGAGCCCCAUAAACACAAAAUUACAAACAAGCCAACGAGCACCGUCAGAUCUCUCGCCACGUCACCGAUCCGCGUGAACGCUCGUUUCAACGGCUGAGAUCACUGGCUUGCAGAGCUACUGGUAAAGCGAACCAAGAAGCUUCUCUCUCUCCCCCUCUCCCUCGCCCAUCUCUCUCUCUCUCUCUCUCUCUCUCUCACUCUCUAUAAUCCAACUCCCCAAUUCGGUUUUUCCAGAAAACAAAGACCAAAAUUCUCUGUGAAAUUGUGAAAGAUGAAGGUUAUGGAGGAAGUUGUGGAGGAAAACGAAGUGAAGCCUUUGACUGCCGAGGAAUUGGAGCAGUACGAGUCCGUUUCCGAGUCCUCCGACUCCGACGACGGCCUCGAAGACGAGGAAGAGGACGGCGACGAAGACGAGGAUGACGACGACGACGACGACGCGGAUGACGACGACGAUGACGACGAUGAGGAUGAAGAUGACGACGACGACGUCCAGGAGGUCGUACAGUCCUCCGGUGGCCCUCCGGUUCAGUCAAUAGACGACGACGACGAUGAGGACGAAGAAGACGAGGAAGGCGCUGAAGGAGGCGAUGACGACGACGACGGCGAGGGAGAUGACGACGACGAUGACGACGACGGCGAGGGCG